UGGGGAAUAUUGGACAAUGGGGGCAACCCUGAUCCAGCAAUGCCGCGUGUGUGAAGAAGGUUUUCGGAUUGUAAAGCACUUUCGACGGGGACGAUGAUGACGGUACCCGUAGAAGAAGCCCCGGCUAACUUCGUGCCAGCAGCCGCGGUAAUACGAAGGGGGCUAGCGUUGCUCGGAAUGACUGGGCGUAAAGGGCGUGUAGGCGGUUUGUACAGUCAGAUGUGAAAUCCCCGGGCUUAACCUGGGAGCUGCAUUUGAUACGUGCAGACUAGAGUGUGAGAGAGGGUUGUGGAAUUCCCAGUGUAGAGGUGAAAUCCGUAGAUAUUGGGAAGAACACCGGUGGCGAAGGCGGCAACCUGGCUCAUAACUGACGCUGAGGCGCGAAAGCGUGG
rnacentral:rRNA from 1 species